UAGAGGUAUUUAAAGGGCUUAAAGCUGGG
rnacentral:sRNA from 1 species